GGGAACCCCUAUCGGGCUCGCACUAAGCCAUGCGAGUCUGCUGGGGGCCCCUGCCCCCGGCGGCGCACGGCUCCGUAAUACACGGUCAACCUGUCCUGGGGACCGGGAUAACCUCGGGAAACUGAGGCUAAUACCGGAUAGGGGUGGAUUCCUGGAAUGGGUCCACCCCUAAAGUAGGCGGGGGGACGGCCCCGCUGAGGCCCCAGGGUGGGACCGUGGCCUAUCAGGUAGUAGGUGGGGUAACGGCCCACCUAGCCUAAGACGGGUACGGGCUCUGAGAGGAGGAGCCCGGAGAUGGGCACUGAGACAAGGGCCCAGGCCCUACGGGGCGCAGCAGGCGGGAAACUUCCCCAAUGCGCGCAAGCGUGAGGGAGUGAGCCCGAGUGCCGCCCGCUGAGGGCGGCUGUUCCCCUGUGUAAAAAGCAGGGGGUAGGAAGGGGAGGGUAAGGCUGGUGCCAGCCGCCGCGGUAAAACCAGCUCCCCGAGGGGUUCCCACGCAUACUGGGCCUAAAGCGUCCGUAGCCGGCCCCGUAAGUCCUCGGUUAAAUCCGCCUGAAGACAGGCGGACCGCCGAGGAUACUGCGGGGCUAGGGAGCGGGAGGGGCCGAGGGUAUUCCGGGGGGAGCGGUAAAAUGCGUAGAUCCCCGGAGGACCACCAGUGGCGAAGGCGCUCGGCUGGAACGCGUCCGACGGUGAGGGACGAAAGCUGGGGGAGCAAACCGGAUUAGAUACCCGGGUAGUCCCAGCCGUAAACGAUGCCGGCUAGGUGCCGGCUGAGGUUUCGGCCUCAGCCGGUGUCGAAGCGAAGGCAUUAAGCCGGCCGCCUGAGGAGUACAGCCGCAAGGCUGAAACUUAAAGGAAUUGACGGGGGGGCACCACAAGGGGUGAAUGCCUGCGGCUCAAUUGGACUCAACGCCGGGAAUCUUACCGGGGGCGACAGCAGGAUGAAGGUCAGGCUGAAGACCUUACCUGACGCGCUGAGGGGUGGUGCAUGGCCGUCGCCAGCUCGUGCCGUGAGGUGUCCUGUUAAGUCAGGCAACGAGCGAGACCCCCGCCCUCAGUUGCCAGCGGGGCCUUACGGCUGGCCGGGCAAACUGGGGGGACUGCCGGCGAAGAGCCGGAGGAAGGAGGGGGCCACGGCAGGUCAGUAUGCCCCUAAUCCCCCGGGCCGCACGCGGGCU
rnacentral:rRNA from 1 species